rnacentral:piRNA from 2 species
UUACUGGUGCACUAAAAGGGGUUCCUGGA